GCCGCCGAUCCCGUCAUGGCGCGCAGCCGCCCCUUGGUCGCGCCGUCGCUGGCCGUGGUGCGCCACCGCCGGUGUAGAGCGCCGCCGCACACCGCCUGAUGGCCUCUGCGCCGCGACCUCCGGUGUGCGCCGUGCUCAGCGCUGUAGCGUCGCCUCCUCUCCUUGCUCUUCCCCUCCCCCGUGCGCCGGGCUUGGCCGGCCCGCCGGUCGUUCAUGGCUCGGAGGGUGCCCCUGGUCGGGGAGGAGCAGGCGCCGUGGAAGAUCACCGUGCAUCUUCGGCGUUGACAGGUUCUUUGCCUGGGCGGAGAAAAUGUUGAGGUCGGGCCUCUGUUCGGGAUGGCGACUGCAGAGUUCAUGGAUGAAGAAGUUGAUGGCGCCCGUUGUCAUCGCUGGCGAGUGGCCGUUAUUCAUUGCGGUCUUCUUCUUGGCCUAGCAUGUCACCGGCGAGCCCAUGCGUCCAGUGGGGAAACGGCGUUCGCGACCACCACGGGAGCGCCGACCAUGGCGGCCUCGUCGACGACGACCAGCACAGGCCGAAAUAGCGUGGCCUAUCGGCCUUUGUUCAUGCAGCAAUUCGGCGAGUUCUUCUCCACGGUGAUUGUGUUGUUCUUGUUUCUUGUUGUGCCCAGAAGAUUAGAGCGUGCGUUUAGGCGACUCCGCGAGUUUCUCUCAGUGGAGAGCAAAUGCAUGAUAACAUGUUAGAAGCGAAGGUGAUUGGAAUGGUUGGAUUAUAUACAUGACCAACGAGAGACCGAAAUGACAUGCCCAUUCGAUAUA